CUGGGACCCUCGCAGUCACGCAGGGCAGGUGGACCAAAGCCUUCGAGAGCCUCUCUCUCGUUGGGAAACUCACCCCUGCCAGGGCUGGGUUUGGCAAGCCUACUGCAAGAGUCCCAGGCUUUCUCCCGCCGCCCUGGUCUGUCAUGCAUCUGCCCACGCUGGUUGCCACACUUUUGCCACGUCGGGGAGAACCUCCUAGGCUUCCUUGAUGCCUUGAAACAGCCGAAAGCCUUGAAUCAGGGAUGUCAGAUGGAAAAGGCAGCAGCCUGCCUCUGAGGCCAGAGGGCAGGAUGGGUGAGCGAUGACCAUGGGAAGGAGUCGGCUCAGAGGAAAGCGGCCUGCUUAGGGCUGUGGGCGGCCACAGCUGAGACCUGGUGGCUGCACAGGAGAUCCGUAGAGAUGUGAGAGAGCAGCCUGGACCUUCUCAUAGCGCCGGCUGGGCUCACGGGUGUGUGUGUGUCCAAGUUCUUGCAGGGGUAGGGGAGGCUGGAAGUCAAAUUUAAGUAAAGGUUUUUACAAAAUGAUUU
ensembl:lncRNA